rnacentral:rRNA from 1 species
CCUACGGGUGGCAGCAGUGGGGAAUAUUGCACAAUGGGGGAAACCCUGAUGCAGCAACGCCGCGUGAGUGAGGAAGUAUUUCGGUAUGUAAAGCUCUAUCAGCAGGGAAUAGAAAAGAAGGUACCUGAGGAAUAAGCCACGGCUAACUACGUGCCAGCAGCCGCGGUAAUACGUAGGUGGCGAGCGUUGUCCGGAAUGACUGGGCGUAAAGGGUGCGUAGGCGGCAUAAUAAGUUAGAAGUGAAAUACCCAGAGCUUAACUCGGGUGCUGCUUCUAAGACUGUUGAGCUUGAGUGCGGGAGAGGUUAAUGGAAUUCCUAGUGUAGCGGUGGAAUGCGUAGAUAUUAGGAGGAACACCAGAGGCGAAGGCGAUUAACUGGACCGUAACUGACGCUGAGGCACGAAAGUGUGGGUAGCAAACAGGAUUAGAUACCCCAGUAGUC